UACGGAGGGUGCAAACGUUGUCCGGAAUCACUGGGCGUAAAGCGCAUGUAGGUGGUUUGGUAAGUGAACGAUUAAAGACCGAUGCUUAACAUCGGGCCGGUUGUUCAUACUGCCUGACUCGAGGAUAGCAGGGGUAAGCGGAACUUUAGGUGUAGGAGUGAAAUCCGUAGAUAUCUAAAGGAACACCAAUGGCGAAGGCAGCUUACUGGGCUAUUUCUGACACUGAGAUGCGAAAGCGUGGGGAGCGAACGGG
rnacentral:rRNA from 1 species